UAGCCUUCUUUGACUAAAAAGGACUAAUUCCUGACCUUGUGUUUUCAAAACAGUAAUCCAAAUGCUAAAGAAUUGAGACUAUGUAGUCAUCUUUAUUUUUGCUUCUCCCUUGUGGAAAUAGUGGUGCCAUUAUAAAUCCAUCAAGCCUUUUAUAGAAUCCAUGUAUUCGUUUCCUGUUAAAGAUCAAAGCCAAAACGCAAUGUUUUUCUUUGUCAAAACGAAGAGAAGUUGGAUUUUGCAUUGGACGAUAUGAGACCGAGAUGGCAUUUGAUUUAGGAGAGAACUGCUCUCGGAUUGGAGGUGUUUCUUGAUCACAUGUGAGAUCUGUGGAUCAAUUGCACACAAUGUUACUGGUACUUACGAAGCCGAUUCAACAGAGCAACGCAAUGAACCAAACGAAGCAACAACAGCAACUGCUACAGCUGCCAUAGUGAUGCCACCACACUCUACAGAGGCUCGGAACUUCUGGCAAGGCCACAGGUUCCUGAAUUUCUUACUCGCCUGCAUGGUUUUCGCCUUUGUCAUAUCAUGGUUAUUUCACUUCAAAAUACCCUCAUAAUUAUGAAAAAGAAAACUAUAUUUGAAAAGUAGCAUCAAAAGAUUGUCGAAAAUCUUCAUCGGGCUCUCUUCAUUCUGCAAUGCAGCCACUGAAACAAACUCGAAAGAUCAACUAUAUUGCACGGUUACAGGCUUGGGAUUGUGAUUACAAAUAUUCUGUUAAUAUAUAUUAGUGUUAGAGAACCUUGGAGGAAGAGUUUGGCCUUUGUAACAAGUAAGAUGUAUAAUGAAAUUGUUUGUAAGUUUAUAUUGUAUUAUUGGGCUCAGCCUAGCUGGAUUGGCCAUCUCAA